AAUUUUCGGCAAUGGGGGCAACCCUGACCGAGCGACGACGCGUGAGUGAAGAAGGUCUNCGGAUGNUNAAGCUCUGUUGUAAGGGNCGAACAGUACCAGUAGGGAAUGACUGGUACCUGACGGUACCUUACAAGCAAGCCACGGCUAACUACGUACAAGCAGCCGCGGUAAUACGUAGGUGGCAAGCGUUAUCCGGAAUUAUUGGGCGUAAAGGGAGCGCAGGCCGCUUAUUAAGUCUGAGGUUAAAGUUCGGGGCUCAACCCCGUGAUGCCUUAGAAACUGCUCGGCUAGAGUGCAGGAGAGGUGAGUGGAAUUCCAUGUGUAGCGGUAAAAUGCGUAGAUAUAUGGAGGAACACCAGUGGCGAAGGCGGCUCACUGGCCUGUAACUGACGCUGAGGCUCGAAAGCGUGGGGAGCAAAUA
rnacentral:rRNA from 1 species